ACCGCUCAGCCACCUGACUCCCCAAAAGGGAGAGGAUUAUUGUCAGAAAUUGAAGAACAUUCUGGAGAGUAUGCAAAAGGAGUAUUCAGAUUUACAGAAGAUAUUCCAAGACAGCAGUCAAGUCUCAUUUAAGACAGCGUAUGCAGAUGGGAACAGCAUUGUUUAUGACCAACGCCUCAUAAACAUUAAAGGGAAGGAUUUAAACUUGCACAUUACACUGCCCUCCAAUUCUGCAGGCUGUAGCAGUCUGUCAGGUCAACCACCUCCACGUGCAGAUGCAGUGGCUGUUAACAACAGCAUCAUACAUGCAGGAGUAAUAAGAGACAGUACAUUCGAUGGGGAG